UGUAAGCGUAUACCAAAGUUGUUGCAGUUAAAACGCUCGUAGUCGGAAUUUGGCAGUUCCGGAUGUGUGCACGUCGUGUGCGCACUUCGCGGGGAUUGCUUUUGUGGUCUUGCGUAGGAUGAGGCACUUUUAUUAGUGAACGUCCUCACGCAACCACUUUUUACUGUGAGAAAAUCAGAGUGCUCAAAGCAGGCAUUUGCCGUGAAUGUAUUAGCAUGGAAUAAUAGAAUAGGACUUGGUUCUAUUUUGUUGGUUUGGUGGGACUGAGUAAUGAUUAAGAGGGACAGUUGGGGGCAUUUGUAUUUCGGUGCUAGAGGUGAAAUUCUUAGAUUACCGAAAGACAAACUGCUGCGAAAGCGUCUGCCAAGGAUGUUUUCAUUGA
rnacentral:rRNA from 1 species